UGAGCAAUCUGCCCUUCUCAUCGGAAUAAGCGUUGGAAACGACGUCUAAUGCCGAAUACGACCUCCUUUCGCAUGAUCGGAGGUGGAAAGCUCCGGCGGAGAAGGAUGAGCUCGCGGCCUAUCAGCUAGUUGGUGUGGGUAAUGGCCCACCAAGGCGACGACGGGUAGCCGGCCUGGAGGGGGCGACCGGUCACACUGGGACUGAGACACGGCCCAGACCUCCCACGGGAGGCAGCG
rnacentral:rRNA from 1 species